rnacentral:sRNA from 1 species
GGGAUUUUGCCAUGUUACUCAAGCUGGUCUCGAACUCCUGGGCUCAAGCGAUCCGCCCGCCUCAGCCUUCCAAAGUGCUGGGAUUACAGGCAUGAACCACCAUGCCCCACAAAUUCUACAUUUUGAAAAUGCUCUCUAGACUGGUAAUAACAACAACAAAGAUGGAUCUAAUCAUAAAGCUGAAAGUGGAGCUCUAAUAGAAGCUGCAAAAUCAAAGAUACAUCAGUACAAAGUACGAGCUUAUAUCCAAAUGAAGUCUCUGAAAGCAUGUAAAAGGGAAAUCAAGUCAGUCAUGAAUACAGCUGGAAAUUCUGCACCCUCUCUCUUUCUUAAAAGCAAUUUUGAGUACUUAAGAGGUAAUUAUCGAAAAGCCGUGAAGCUAUUAAAUAGUUCAAACAUUGCUGAGCAUCCAGGAUUCAUGAAAACAGGUGAAUGCUUGAGAUGCAUGUUCUGGAAUAACCUUGGUUGCAUCCAUUUUGCCAUGAGCAAGCACAAUUUGGGAAUAUUCUACUUUAAAAAGGCUCUGCAGGAGAAUGACAAUGUCUGUGCACAGCUCAGUGCAGGUAGCACUGAUCCAGGUAAAAAAUUUUCAGGAAGACCCAUGUGUACGUUACUAACCAAUAAGAGAUAUGAGUUGCUGUAUAACUGUGGAAUUCAGCUUCUUCACAUUGGAAGGCCUCUUGCUGCCUUCGAAUGUCUGAUUGAAGCUGUUCAGGUUU